rnacentral:rRNA from 1 species
UACGUAGGGACCAAGCGUUGUUCGGAUUUACUGGGCGUAAAGGGCGCGUAGGCGGCGUGACAAGUCACUUGUGAAAUCUCUGAGCUUAACUCAGAACGGCCAAGUGAUACUGCAGUGCUAGAGUGUGGAAGGGGCAAUCGGAAUUCUUGGUGUAGCGGUGAAAUGCGUAGAUAUCAGAAGGAACGCCGGUGGCGAAAGCGACCCACUGGAUCUUUUCUGACGCUGAGGCGCGAAAGCUAGGGGAGCAAACGGG